AGGAGCUAAGAAAUUUUCCCCUACUGGGUUCUGACGGUCCUACUGACUCUAGUAUUUAAAAUGAGUUGGUUCUGAAAAAUAGGGUACUGCCAUUCGGGUGAUGAGUAAAGCAGAAGCCAGAAAGUGUGCCAGUUGCAAACCGAAACGCAUGAGCCAAACAUAGUCUCUGAAAUGACAAUGUUCAAGACGCAGCUAAAGUCACCACUCUGGCGGUAAGCGUGUUACAAAGAACUAGGUUUCUUUCUGGCAUCCACAACUUGGCUGGAGUGACCAAAGAGGAGUUCGGGAGCGCUGGAAAUGCGAGAGUAAAAAGUUAAUUGGUGUCUGAGUUGUGGAGUUGUUUGAACCCUGCCACACCAUCAGGAUUUCCACAGCGUUUACUUUCUGGAUACUGUUCUUUCUGCAAAUGAAUGAAUGGAACCAAGAGGACAAGCACACCCGGGGGUGGGGACAAUGUACAAUUCUGCCUUGUCCACAUGUCUCACCCAAAAGCACCUCCUCAAGGAUCUGCUGGCCGAGAGGCCCCUUCUAAGCUCUGCAUCUUGGCAACCCAACCAAAGGUGCCGACCUGCACAUCCAUGGCGCGCAGAAUCGACUUUUCAAACUGCAGCUGUUCAUGACUUCAGGCUCCAGAGCUGGGCCUUAGUCCUCCUGCUGCUGUUUCCCCUCCCAGCCUUGCCUCCCAUCCUACCUGCUGCCUCAGCUGAGAGACCACAUCCUCCAGAGGUACUCUCCCGCUGGCUGGACGCCACCUCGGACCCUCCGUACCGACCCUACUACCAAUCCUAUCGUGCCAAAAGCGCCGGCUUGCUUGUCUUCCCCCCCAAGGGCUGCAAACUCUUCUGGCAUUCUUACGGCCCACCCUGCAUUUGGUACAUCUGAGACCUUCAAUAAUUAUCUGUUGAUUGAUGAAAUCGAACCGAUGAAUAAUUGAACUAGAUACUUCAUAAAUGUUUCAUAACAACAUCCAAAUUCCAACUCCAAUUUAAUAUUAUAUCAAUAUUUGCCUCCUUGUGAGUUAUCUAAAGCUCUACUAAAUAGGAAAAUUCACCGAGAAUAUAUUGAAAUAAUUAAGCGUUUCUCACACAGACAUAUAUGAGGUUGAUUAGAGUGUCUAGUACAAUCGAUGUACAAAUGGACCCUGGGGUUAAAGGUGUGCAUUUCACUUGGACCCUCGGCCCUGCAAUCAAAGCCUCUCCAGGCCCCACUGGCCAGCCUCCGACUUGGAGCAAUCCUCUGCUGAAUCUUAAAUCCCCUUGCCUUCCCCGUUCACAUUCCCAAGAACAACAAAACAAACAGAAAAAAACCGCGCAAGUCCAAGUGCCAGAAUAGCUCUGCUAACCUGAGGAAGAAACCCUUGAACAUCAAUGAACCGUGCUCAAAAUCUGCCAUUUCACUGCUCACUUUUCAGAAAAGCAUCACCCUGCGAAGAAGUUGCUUUUGAAUGCAAACUUCAUGAUUGCCAGAAUCAUCUAACGUUAGGACUUGCCUGCUUCUCACUUCUGAACUGGGUGUCUCAGCCAGUAGAGGAGCGUUAAUUCUCCGCGUGACUACAGACGGGAACGCAAGCAGCAUUAACAAAUUACCGCUGAUGGAUAUGCAAAUGGGGCAAGGACAAAUAUUAAAACAGCCCUAUCUCACUCUGCCA